CCUACGGGCGGCAGCAGUGAGGAAUAUUGGUCAAUGGGCGCGAGCCUGAACCAGCCAAGUCGCGUGAAGGAUGACUGCCCUACGGGUUGUAAACUUCUUUUAUAAAGGAAUAAAGUGAGGCACGUGUGCCUUUUUGUAUGUACUUUAUGAAUAAGGAUCGGCUAACUCCGUGCCAGCAGCCGCGGUAAUACGGAGAAUCCGAGCGUUAUCCGGAUUUAUUGGGUUUAAAGGGAGCGUAGAUGGGUUGUUAAGUCAGUUGUGAAAGUUUGCGGCUCAACCGUAAAAUUGCAAUUGAUACUGGCAGCCUUGAGUACAGUUGAGGUAGGCGGAAUGCGUGGUGUAGCGGUGAAAUGCAUAGAUAUCACGAAGAACUCCGAUUGCGAAGGCAGCUUACUAAGCUGCCACUGACAUUGAUGCACGAAAGUGUGGGUAUCAAACAGGAUUAGAUACCCGAGUAGUC
rnacentral:rRNA from 1 species